UACGAGGGGGGCGAGCGUUGUUCGGAAUUAUUGGGCGUAAAGGGCGCGUAGGCGGUCGGAUAAGUCUUGUGUGAAAUCUUCGGGCUCAACUCGAAGUCUGCACAGGAAACUAUCUGGCUUGAGUGUGGGAGAGGUGAGUGGAAUUCCUGGUGUAGCGGUGAAAUGCGUAGAUAUCAGGAGGAACACCUGUGGCGAAAGCGGCUCACUGGACCACAACUGACGCUGAGGCGCGAAAGCAUGGGGAGCGAACAGG
rnacentral:rRNA from 1 species